UGGGGAAUAUUGCACAAUGGGCGCAAGCCUGAUGCAGCCAUGCCGCGUGUAUGAAGAAGGCCUUCGGGUUGUAAAGUACUUUCAGCGGGGAGGAAGGGAGUAAAGUUAAUACCUUUGCUCAUUGACGUUACCCGCAGAAGAAGCACCGGCUAACUCCGUGCCAGCAGCCGCGGUCAUACGGAGGGUGCAAGCGUUAAUCGGAAUUACUGGGCGUAAAGCGCACGCAGGCGGUUUGUUAAGUCAGAUGUGAAAUCCCCGGGCUCAACCUGGGAACUGCAUCUGAUACUGGCAAGCUUGAGUCUCGUAGAGGGGGGUAGAAUUCCAGGUGUAGCGGUGAAAUGCGUAGAGAUCUGGAGGAAUACCGGUGGCGAAGGCGGCCCCCUGGACGAAGACUGACGCUCAGGUGCGAAAGCGUGGGGAGCAAACA
rnacentral:rRNA from 1 species